rnacentral:sRNA from 1 species
CAUACCCGCGUUUUCAAUACUACACCUGACAACAAUUGUUAGUACAAAAAUGGUUGCGUAUCAUUGACAGGAAAGAAACUGCAUUUCAAGUACUCCAAACCUCUUAUGCUGGCUUCGUUGAGGUUUAUUAUUACUAAUUAUAUGCUGACAGAAAUGGGAUGCAUUUCUGGACAUUUUGAGAAGACAAGAUAUCUGGAAGCAUUCACUAUCCAGUGCUGACCCUCGUGGUUCAAGGAUGCACGAGGCUCACACUAACUAACGUGAGCACGAAAUUACCUCUCUCAGCUUGAAAUAGUUCAAUAAUACCGACAUAGGGGAAUCCUGAACAUGGAUUUCGCGUAGAUGAACCAGCCAAAAGACUCGAUGCACUGAGGAUUGGCCAAAGUGGAAAAGAACUGCUUCAUUCACGGGUUUUUGAUGUGUAAAAUAUUACAAUAUUAAUAUUAGUAGUUGUUUAUUUUGGUUUUCUCAUCUCGACAUAAGCAUAAUAUACCUGAUACAUUCAUAUCGGACGCAAUAUCAGUGAU